rnacentral:rRNA from 1 species
UCUUUACAAUUGUUUUAUAUUUAAUUUUUAACUAUAUAAGUAUAAAAUUUUAAAUAAGAAGUUGUUACGCUGGGGUGGUGUAGAUAUAUGAAGAAACUGUCUAUGUGAUAAGUUCAUAUUAUUUGAUUAGAUGUAAUCGAUCCUUUUAUAGAUUAAAAGAUUAAGAU